UACGUAGGGGGGCGAGCGUUGUCCGGAUUUAUUGGGCGUAAAAGAGCUCGUAGGCGGUUCGAUAAGUCGGAUGUGAAAUCUCCACGCUCAACGUGGAGGGGGCCAUUCGAUACUGUCGUGACUCGAGUCCGGUAGGGGAGUGUGGAAUUCCCGGUGUAGCGGUGAAAUGCGCAGAGAUCGGGGAGGAACACCCGUAGCGAAGGCGGCACUCUGGGCCGGUACUGACGCUGAGGAGCGAAAGCGUGGGGAGCAAACAGG
rnacentral:rRNA from 1 species